rnacentral:tRNA from 1 species
UGAGAUUUAGGUUAAAAAAACCUCUUGCCUUCAAAGCAGGUCAUAAGCAAGGGCUUAAUCUUAA